AGAGUUUGAUCAUGGCUCAGGACGAACGCUGGCGGCGUGCUUAACACAUGCAAGUCGAACGGAAAGGCCCGCUUGCGGGUACUCGAGUGGCGAACGGGUGAGUAACACGUGGGCAACCUGCCCUCAGCUCUGGGAUAACUCCGGGAAACCGGUGCUAAUACUGGAUAUCGACUUCUGCCUCGCAUGGGGUGUUGUUGAAAGUUUUUCGGCUGGGGAUGGGCCCGCGGCCUAUCAGCUUGUUGGUGGGGUGAUGGCCUACCAAGGCGACGACGGGUAGCCGGCCUGAGAGGGCGACCGGCCACACUGGGACUGAGACACGGCCCAGACUCCUACGGGAGGCAGCAGUGGGGAAUAUUGCGCAAUGGGCGGAAGCCUGACGCAGCGACGCCGCGUGAGGGAUGACGGCCUUCGGGUUGUAAACCUCUUUCAGCUCUGACGAAGCGUGAGUGACGGUAGGAGCAGAAGAAGCACCGGCCAACUACGUGCCAGCAGCCGCGGUAAUACGUAGGGUGCAAGCGUUGUCCGGAAUUAUUGGGCGUAAAGAGCUCGUAGGCGGUUUGUCGCGUCGAAUGUGAAAACCCGGGGCUCAACCCCGGGCCUGCAUUCGAUACGGGCAGACUAGAGUUCGGUAGGGGAGUCUGGAAUUCCUGGUGUAGCGGUGAAAUGCGCAGAUAUCAGGAGGAACACCGGUGGCGAAGGCGGGACUCUGGGCCGAUACUGACGCUGAGGAGCGAAAGCGUGGGGAGCGAACAGGAUUAGAUACCCUAGUAGUCC
rnacentral:rRNA from 1 species